ACAAUUCAUAACUGUACUAACACCCACAGACAGUAACUCUAAAAAUGAUUUAAACAAAAUACAUUGCAUUUUGUACCUUUUUCCAUUGUUCUUAGAACUUCAUUUGUUUUCAUUAAGUCUUAAAAAAGAUCAGAUUGAGCUGGAACUUGGGUAAGAGAGGUGAUAAGUUUGUAGAUAAUAAUGCAUCUCAUCAGUCAUGAAUUGCACAAAUUAAUCUUCAGAUAGGGGCAUGUCUUACAAGAAUUUACAUGCUAGCACUUUAAUUGUCAGAAGCUAGUUUCUAUUAGGCAGAUGGACUGUGAAUGAGUAACAGCAUUUCCCAUUAGUGGAAGGAAAAAAGAAAAAUGAAGGAUAAAGCCGUAACACAGACAGGGUAUGAAGGAUGCAAGAGUGAAUGCAUGAAAACAUGGUCAUCUGAGGUGCAAAGUGCAAUAUUCGCAAACCUUGGAGUAGUCUGUCUAGAGAAGACAAACAGCAUCCACAUCACACUGGUUAGAAUCAUAGAAUCAUUUAGGUUGGAAAGGCCACUAGUCCAACCAUCACCACCAUGCCCACUAAACCAUGUCACUCCAUUGCAGCAUCUGUAUGUUUCUUGAAAACCUCCAGGGAUCGUGAUUCUACCACCUCCCUGGCAGCCUGUUCUAAUACUUGAUCACUUUCUGAAUAGAAAUUUUUGCUAACAUCCAACCUGAACCUCCCCUGGAGCAACUUAAAGCCAUUACCUCUAUUUGUAUUCAGUAGCAUGGUGUCAUGCUACUUUUUCUUCAGUAGACACACGAUUCCCAAGGGCUGUCCUGCAGUCAUGGAAUACUGGUGCGUUGUUAUUAUUUCAUGGUUUGUUUUUAAAGUUCAUGAAAUGAUGCAAAGGCUGCGCUGAAGUCCACCAAAGCUAUUUUUAUAGCAUAACUGAAAAGUAUACAUUACUCAGAUAACUAAGAUACUAAAUGAGAUCUGUGAGAGUAUAAGACUUACUGGAAUAGUGUUAGAGAACUGUGUAAUGCAAACUGAUUUGGGGAUCUGUGUAAUAAAAUGGUGGAGCUGUACCCA
rnacentral:lncRNA from 1 species